rnacentral:rRNA from 1 species
UACGGAGGGUGCGAGCGUUGUCCGGAAUCAUUGGGCGUAAAGGGCGCGUAGGCGGCCUGAUAAGUAGGGGGUGAAAUCCUGCGGCUUAACCGCAGGGCUGCCUUCUAAACUGUCAGGCUGGAGCACAGUAGAGGCAGGUGGAAUUCCCGGUGUAGCGGUGGAAUGCGUAGAGAUCGGGAAGAACAUCAGUGGCGAAGGCGGCCUGCUGGGCUGUUGCUGACGCUGAGGCGCGACAGCGUGGGGAGCAAACAGG